rnacentral:rRNA from 1 species
CCUACGGGAGGCAGCAGUCGAGAAUCAUUCACAAUGGGGGAAACCCUGAUCGUGCGACGCCGCGUGGAGGAAUGAAGGUCUUCGGAUUGUAAACUUCUGUUAUGUGGGAGUAAAUCAAAAAGAUAGUACCACAAGAGGAAGAGACGGCUAACUAUGUGCCAGCAGCCGCGGUAAUACAGAGGUCUCAAGCGUUGUUCGGAAGUACUGGGCGUAAAGCGUGCGUAGGAUGGUUCGUAAGUCGUGUGUGAAAGGCGCGGGCUCAACCCUCGGACGGCACAUGAUACUGGGAGACUAGAGUAAGGUAGGGGGAACCGGAAUUCGCGGUGUAGCAGUGAAAUGCGUAGAUAUCGAGAGGAACACUCGUGGCGAAGGCGGGUUCCUGGACAUUAACUGACGCUGAGGCACGAAGGCCAGGGGAGCGAAAGGGAUUAGAUACCCGAGUAGUC